rnacentral:lncRNA from 1 species
CUUGAUCCCUGUCUCCUGUACAGUGUCAUGAAUCUCCAUCCAUAGUUCAUCAGGCACUCUUUCUAUCAGAACUAGUCCCUUAAAUCUAUUUCUAACUUCCACUGUAUAAUCAUAAGGGAUUUGAUUUAGGUCAUACCUGAAUGGUCUAGUGGUUUUCCCCAAGUGUUAUUAGGCAAGACAUUUUCCUGUUUAUGCCAUAGUUUCCUAUUCUGUUGAAUGAGGCAGUUAUAUUAGUUUUAUCUCUAAGGACCUAAAAGUGUCAACUUUAUACUUUUCUAAGUUCUGUAGAGACAGUUUCUAUAGCUCAUUAAUUUGGGUCUUCCCAUAACUCUAGCACAGUACUCAGUUAAUACUUCUUCAUGGCAUUUACAUGGUUUCUUUCUUGUUUUCUUUUGUAGCUCCUGGUUGUUCCCUUCAUAUUUGCCAAAUCAUUAUCUUUCCCUGAAGUAGUGCAAAGAGCAAGAAAUGUGAACACACCAAGGAAGAUCAACAUGCCUGCAAUGCUAGCAUUUUAGAAUAGCAGAAUGAAUUUGUCUCUUCUGUUUCUUACCCUCUUCCAUGUCUGCCUUUGCUUAUCUUUUAAACUCAUAAGUGUGUAUUUGUUUGUUUGUCUGUUUCUUCUUUGAAUGUCUUUGGUCUUUCUUGUCUAAAGUAUGUCUUACCCAUUUCCAUGAUUCUCUUGCUAGUUUCUUCUCUGUAUAUCUUUGUCUCAUUUACUUUUUUGUACCCAGGAGUGGUUUGUGUCUUGUCUUAAAUGUCUCUCUCUAGUUUUCUUCAUUUUGUUACUGAUUCUCCUUGCUCUGCUAGAUCUAGCUCUUCUUUCACCGUUCUCUGUGAGCCUCUUGAGUUAUGUGUGCCUUUUGCUCAUUUCUUGCUAUGCCUGCCUCUCUUCUUUUUCUCUUUGUGAACUCUGUCACCCGUUCCCCUUGUUGGCUUGACAUUUCACCUUUUCUGAUACUGGCUACCCUUCUGCUGUUUCUACUCUUUAUCUUGCAUAUUUCUCUUUUCUACAUAUUCUUUGUGCCUUUCUUGGGCUAUUUUCUCUUUUUUUCCUCAUGCUUUGUGUGCCCCAGUGUCUCUUUGUUCUUCUCUCCUUUUGCCUUUCUAUUCACUUUUGAGUAUUUCUUGAGUCUAUGUCUCCCCCUCUUUGAUUUCAUGCAAUUCUCUCUCCUGGCAUAUUUUUUCAUGCGUGUUUGUGUGUGUGCUCUUUUGUGUGUUUGUAAAGGCGCCUCCUAACCCCUUCCAGUAGGUGCAGAGUGUCAGCUAUCAAAAUAAGCAUUGCAGAGCUGUUCGUUAUGCCAGGCCGCCCUGUGAGAUGAUCCAAAACCAACAGAAGGUCCAAGGGUCUAGACUGGAGUUGGAUAGAAGACUCAAGUCUCCGUGAGACAGAAGGCCAAAGACCUAGGAUGGGAUUAAAAAACCUUGUCUUGAAGACCUGUGACCCAAAAGAUGGAAGUGCCCUAGCACACACAAAGACCCAGGACUCAAACCUAUCUAUAUAAGACAGAAGGCCCAAGAGAGACAGAUAUUUCAAGACUAAAUUAGAUGGGAAACUGGAG